rnacentral:rRNA from 1 species
CGAUAACGAACGAGACCUUAACCUGCUAAAUAGCCCGUAUUGCUUUGGCAGUACGCUGGCUUCUUAGAGGGACUAUCGGCUCAAGCCGAUGGAAGUUUGAGGCAAUAACAGGUCUGUGAUGCCCUUAGAUGUUCUGGGCCGCACGCGCGCUACACUGACAGAGCCAGCGAGUAUUCCCUUGGCCGGAAGGCCGGGUAAUCUUGUUAAACUCUGUCGGCCUGGGGAUAGAGCAUUGCAAUUAUUGCUCUUCAACGAGGAAUCCGUAGUAAGCGCAAGUCAUCAGCUUGCGUUGAUCACGUCCCUGCCCUUUGUACACACCGCCCGUCGCUACUACCGAUUGAAUGGCUCA